GGCCCCGCCCCGGCCCGCGGGGCCAUGGGGCGCCACCGCCCCAGGCCGAGCGCGGCGUUCGGCAGAGCCGGCGGGGCCCGGCAGGAGGUGCUGUCGCUCCGUGGAUGGAGCAACAAUCUGCUCUCUGGAAAUUGCUGCAAUGCUUGUCAAAAGUCACUGUUUUAUCCCAUAAUUUUCUGCAAGGAGCCAGCAAGAAGAGCACAGUGGAGGCCAAGCCAUCAGCAGCCCUCCUGAACCUCAGGCUGGAUUAAUUUAGUGGAUUGGAACUCCUCGUUACAGAAAUCUCUCCCCACUGACUUUUCCAUAUGUAAACAACCUAUACAGCAUUUUGUAAUGUAAAACAAAUGUGGUAAGUAGGUCCCACAUUAAAAAAUCAUUUUGAGUGGAAUGUCUGAAAUGCUCAGGGGAUUUUG